GACGAAGGAUACAAGCGUUAUCCGGAUUCAUUGGGUUUAAAGGGAGCGUAGGUGGACUUGUAAGUCAGUGGUGAAAUCUUUGGGCUUAACCCAGAAACUGCCAUUGAUACUGCAGGUCUAGAGUACAGUUGCCGUUGGCGGAAUAUGACAUGUAGUGGUGAAAUACUUAGAUAUGUCAUAGAACACCGAUUGCGAAGGCAGCUAACGAAGCUGUAACUGACACUGAGGCUCGAAAGUGCGGGGAUCAAACAGG
rnacentral:rRNA from 1 species